rnacentral:tRNA from 1 species
GGGCGAUUAGCUCAGUUGGUAGAGCGCCUCGUUUACACCGAGGAUGUCGGGAGUGUUGAUCUAUCGGCGGCCA